rnacentral:rRNA from 1 species
CCUACGGGUGGCAGCAGUGAGGAAUAUUGGUCAAUGGGCGAAAGCCUGAACCAGCCAAGUCGCGUGAGGGAAGACUGCCCUAUGGGUUGUAAACCUCUUUUGUCAGGGAGCAACGACGGCUACGUGUAGCCGGACUGAGAGUACCUGAAGAAAAAGCAUCGGCAAACUCCGUGCCAGCAGCCGCGGUAAUACGGAGGAUGAGAGCGUUAUCCGGAUUUAUUGGGUUUAAAGGGAGCGUAGUGGGUAUGCCAAGUGAGCGGUAAAAUCGCGGGGCUCAACCUCGCUCGUCCGUUGAAACUGGCGUUCUUGAGUGGACGAGAAGUAUGCGGAAUGCGUGGUGUAGCGGUGAAAUGCAUAGAUAUCACGCAGAACUCCGAUUGCGAAGGCAGCAUACCGGCGCCCAACUGACGCUGAAGCACGAAAGCGUGGGUAUCGAACAGGAUUAGAUACCCCUGUAGUC